UUGAGUAAUUGGAUUUAAAUAUAGUAGCUAUCUUUUUUUUUAAUCUUAGUGUAGUCGCAAGAGCUACUGUACAUAUAUAAAAGAAAAAGUGACUCCUUUAAGCAGGUAAUUUUCAAUAGAUAAGUAAAAAGGCAAUUGAAAAGAAACUAAUGAUGUUAUAGGCAGUAGUUUGCGGCACCCAUCUAAUUUGAAUGUUAUCGAGUAUUUAUAGACAUUGCAAAAGAGAUGAGAGUCAAGAGAAAAUAUGAAGAAGAAAGAAGACAGGACAGAAUUAUGUUUGUUGAGGCUUCAGGCAUCAGGGAUUGCAAGAAAAAUCCUCCUCCUAGCCUGCUCAGAAAGCUGCCAUCUGCUGUAAGACCUGGAACCACUGUCAUAAGUUCCAGCAUCCACUAAAAAUGAUGAAGAUCAGAGAAAAAGAAAAAUGUGCUUCUGGCUAAGACUGUUAUAUAAAAGGAAAGAAUAUGAAGAGAUCUCUAUAGUCAGCAAAGGAAGAAACAAGAUAUCAUUUGCUGCACUAUAUAGAAACAAAUGUCCUUCCAGUUAGGACCAAGUAAUCAAGAAAUCAAGAAUGACAAUGUUUUGAUCUCAAGGAGUGUGUCUAUGUCCUCCAACAGACCAGCACAGAAGUCUUCAUCUCUUGUUCUGUUUCCACACCUUCAGAAGACUCUCUUAGCUUCAUCGCAUGGGUCUUUCCACUGGUAUGUGAAACACCAACUUGCAGAGCACUCAGCACAGCAGGUGUCUUGGAGGCAUGGGAUCAUCUGGCUUCUGAAAAUGAAAAGAAGGAAAUAAAAAGCUUUUGCACUUUGCA